UGAAACUGCGAAUGGCUCAUUAAAACAGUUAUAGUUUAUUUGAUACAUUAAAUGGAUAACUGUAGAAAAACUAGAGCUAAUACAUGCCAAACCGCAAGGUUGUAUUUAUUAGAUAUACCAGGUUGGUGAAUCAUAAUAACUUCGCAAAUCGCAGCUAUGCUGCGAUAAAUCAUUCAAGUUUCUGCCCUAUCAUGCUUUCGAUGGUAGUGUAUUGGACUACCAUGGCUCUCACGGGUAACGGGGAAUUAGGGUUCGAUUCCGGAGAAGGAGCCUGAGAAACGGCUACUACAUCUAAGGAAGGCAGCAGGCGCGUAAAUUACCCAAUCCUGACUCAGGGAGGUAGUGACAAGAUAUAACG
rnacentral:rRNA from 1 species